AUUGAACGCUGGCGGCAGGCCUAACACAUGCAAGUCGAGCGGAGCGGCGGACGGGUGAGUAAGGCAUAGGAAUCUGCCUGGUAGUGGGGGAUAACUUCCGGAAACGGGCGCUAAUACCGCAUACUAUCAGAUGAGUCUAGGUCGGAUUGGCUAGCUGGUGGGGUAAAGGCCUACCAAGGAGACGAUCCGUCACUGGUCUGAGAGGAUGAUCAGUCACACUGGAACUGAGACACGGUCCAGACUCCUACGGGAGGCAGCAGUGGGGAAUAUUGCACAAUGGGCGCAAGCCUGAUGCAGCCAUGCCGCGUGUAUGAAGAAGGCCUUCGGGUUGUAAAGUACUUUCAGUCGGGAGGCGUUACCGACAGAAGAAGCACCGGCUAACUCCGUGCCAGCAGCCGCGGUAAUAC
rnacentral:rRNA from 1 species